UACGGAGGGUGCAAGCGUUGCUCGGAAUUAUUGGGCGUAAAGGGUAGGUAGGUGGUCUCGUUUGUCUGAGGUGAAAGCCUUGAGCUUAACUCAAGAAGUGCCUUAGAAACGGCGAGACUAGAGUCCUGGAGAGGGUCGUGGAAUUCUCGGUGUAGAGGUGAAAUUCGUAGAUAUCGAGAGGAACACCGGUGGCGAAGGCGGCGACUCUGGACGAUGACUGACGCUGAGACGCGAAAGCGUGGGGAGCAAACAGG
rnacentral:rRNA from 1 species